rnacentral:tRNA from 1 species
GCCGCGGUCUCAGACUGGGAGAGCACCCGGCUGAAGACCGGGCUGUCGGGAGUUCAAGUCUCCCCCGCGGCACCA